rnacentral:lncRNA from 1 species
UUGGGGUCAAUCUUGAUGCUUUUUUGGGGCUGGGUUGAUGCUGUUUUGGGAGCUGAUAUUUAGGGUGAUUUGAUGGCUUUUUAGGGCUGGUUUUGGGUCAGAUUUUGAUGUUUUUGGGGCUGGUUUUUGAUGCUGUUUUGGGGUCGAUUUGAUUGCUUUUUAGGCUGGUUUUGGGUCGAAUUUGAUGCCUGUUUGGGUCUUUUUGGGGCCAUUUUGAUUGCCUGUUUCUUGGGCUGGUUUUGAUGCUGUUUUGUGGGGGGUCUUUUUUGGGGUCGCAUUGUUGAGCUUUUGUAGGGUCUGGGUUUUGGGUCAUUUUUAGGCUGUUUGGGGGUUCAUUGUAGGGCUAGUUGUUGGGGUCACUUUAAUGCAUGUUUGGGGGUUGAUUUUGGGGUCGUUUUGAUGCAUUUUGGGCUGGUUUUGGGGCCAUUUUGAGGCCGAUUUUGGGGUCAGUUUGAUGCUUUUUAGGUCUGGUUUUGGGGUGUUUUUGGGUGGAUUUGGGGUCGUUUUGAUGCUGGUUUUGGGGUCAAUUUGAUGCUUUUUGGGGCUGGUUUUGGGGUCGUUUUGAUGCUUUUUAGGGCUGGUUUUGGGGCCAUUUGAGUGUGGCCGGAUCUUAUGGGUGGGUGCGAGUGGUGUUGAUGCUUGUUGUGAGGGCUGGGGUUGUUGAGGGGUGGUGGGUGUUGUUGGGUGGAUUUGGGGGUUGUUUGAUGCUGGUAUUGGGGGUCAAUUUGGGGGGGUUGCUUUUUGGGGCUGAUUUUGGUGUAGAUUUGAUGCUUUUUGGGGCUGGUUUUGAUGCUGUUUUGGGGUCGAUUUGAUGCUUUUUAGGGCUGGUUUUGGGGUCAAUUUGAUGCUUUUUGGGGUCUUUUUGGGGUCAUUUUGAUGCUUUUUAGGGCUGGUUUUGGGGUCAUUUUAGGCU